UCUUGUCAAAUUUCAUUCAUGGCUAUAUUUAUCAUAUUCCAUCAAUGUUCAUUCGAUUACAAGCAUGAGAAUUCAUCAAGAUUCAUUUUCGAGUUCCAAGUAUCUUCGCACUAUUUCAUUCUUUGGAAUCAUCAUUCGUUACAAAAUUACAAGGUUGGCACAAAAUCUAUCAUGUGAGAAGAUUACAAUCAAGACAUAUACGGUGGCCCUGUUACAUUUUGAUCUAGAACCUCAAAGAUUCGAUGGUGUUCAUGAUACACUUAUGAUCAAGUAUUAUUCCAAAGAGGCCCUUAAUUGA